GCGUGAGUAGUGUAGCCUGGCCCAUCACGCGGCCCUGCCACGGCCGAGACGAGCGUUCGAAUCGCUCCUCGCGCA
rnacentral:tRNA from 1 species